rnacentral:rRNA from 1 species
ACGCUCGACACCUACGGGAGGCAGCAGUGGGGAAUAUUGCACAAUGGGGGAAACCCUGAUGCAGCGAUGCCGCGUGAAGGAAGAAGUAUCUCGGUAUGUAAACUUCUAUCAGCAGGGAANAAAAUGACGGUACCUGACUAAGAAGCCCCGGCUAACUACGUGUCAGCAGCCGCGGUAAUCUGAGCGGGCUGGCAAGGC